CACCCUGAAAGCAGGCUCAUAUUUUUCAGUACCUGGGUGGCCCAGAAGAACUUUUCAGGGAGCAAGAACCAAACAGAUAGUAAAAUAAGCACAUUUGUGGGUGAACCUCAGUUUCAUGCUUCUUGGGCUUCUCUGUGACCUACAAGAACCAAGAAACACCAGAAGAUGGAACUGAAACUGCCUCUUACUUGCUCAUUCUUCACUGCCAGAUCACAUCAGGAUAUAAGAUACCUGAGGACUACUUGUUUGCAGACUGCUGGAAGCAGAGACAUAAUCACCUAUUGUUUGGUCAUCCCCUUUCUUCUGGUGCUUCUCCAUCAGGGAAGGUGAAAGGCAGAAGAGGACCUGCAGUCACUUGCAUUGUGAAGGGCUGGUGUGGGCCACUGCAUGUUUCGAGUCAGAGCCAGACAAGGGAGAAUAGGAGAGGAAUGCUGUUGAAAUCUGAUUUGCAGAAAAGGUGCAGUGACAGCAAAAUAAAUUCAAUUCGCAGACUCCUGUCAUCCUCCAGAUCUUUGGAUCAGUUGUUAUUCCCUCCCAGCCUCAUUCAUCGAUGCUAAGGAUGAAGUUCUAAACACUUGCUGUGGUUGAAACUGUUCUUACAUCAUCUCCUGAACAGAGUGACUUCACUCACAUGAAAUCAUGAAGUUAAUGCCACAGUCAAGACUUCAAAGCUCUUUCUGCUGACCUGAGCUGAUUUUUUUUUUUUUUAAAUACUAUGGUAGUUGCUGGUUCUUAACUGAGAGAAGAAUUGCCAAAGUAGUCAGUGUUCUCCUUAUUGUGCAAUACAAGAAGAUGGGAGAAUUUUCCAGCAGAGCUGCAGUCUGGAUGGGGGUGGCAGUGCCAUAGUAUGAAUUCUCCACUUAAUCUCAAAUUAGUUUUGAUUUUUGUCUUGUUGUAUAAAAUGGGGAUGAAUAUCCUCGAUCUGUAUUAUCUACUCGAACUAGAUAACCUUUAAAAGGUCCCUUCCAACUCAAACUAUUCUAUGAUUCUAUGAAUUUGGUAGUUGCGCUGGAAAAGGGAUUCUCACAAGACAAAAAGUGAUUACAGAGCUGGCUAAUGGGGUUGAGAGAUCAUGCUGCAAGGACAACUGUCAGGCAAAAAGAUAGUUUGUAGUGGAGGUUCUUAUGGACAAUACUAAUUUUAAUUUCUGUUAGCGCCAUUUGGAAAAGACAGAAGCGUGCUAGUAACAUUUGCUAAUUACUAAGGGAUGUCAUCAAAGCAAGAUAGGAAGAAGGGGAUGGGGUAAUAGGAAUUGAAUAAAAUUAAGUGGUACACAGUGCA
rnacentral:lncRNA from 1 species